rnacentral:rRNA from 1 species
UAAAGCAAGAAAGGGCGUAUGGGGAAUGCCUAGGCACACUCCGGCGAAGAAGGACGCAGCAAACAGCGAAAUGCGACGGUGAGCGGUAAGCACGUGAAGAGCCGUCGAUAUCCGAAUGGGGGAACCCACACGGAGUCAUAUCCGUGUAUCACAUGUCGAAUACAUAGACAUGAUGAGGCGAGACGCAGGGAACUGAAACAUCUAAGUACCUGCAGGAGAAGAAAACAAACGUGAUUCCCCCAGUAGCGGCGAGCGACCGGGGAAAAGCCCAAACCGUUAUUGUUUCGGCAGUAGCGGGGUAGUAGGACUGCGACAUUGAUGAAAUAAAUGAAAUGGAACACUUUGGAAAAUGUGAUCACAGAGGGUGAUAAUCCCGUACAUGCAAGUUUAUGAAUCAUAGCAGACUCCUGAGUAAGUCGGGACACGUGUAAUCCUGACCGAAUCCGCCGGGACCAUCCGGCAAGGCUAAAUACUCCUGAGAGACCGAUAGUGAACCAGUACCGUGAGGGAAAGGUGAAAAGCACUUCGAACAGAAGAGUGAAAUAGUCCCUGAACCCAUACGCCUACAAGCAGUCGGAGCCGCUUCGUGCGGUGACGGCGUGCCUUUUGCAUAAUGAGCCUACGAGUUACUCAUCACCAGCGAGGUUAAGUACUUCAGGUACGUAAGCCGAAGCGAAAGCGAGUCUGAAUAGGGCGUCAAGUUGGUGGUGGUAGACGCGAAACCUUAGUGAUCUACCCAUGGGCAGGGUGAAGGUUUGGUAACACAAACUGGAGGCCCGAACCGGUAAACGUUGAAAAGUUUUCGGAUGACCUGUGGGUAGGGGUGAAAGGCCAAUCAAACUGGGAAAUAGCUCGUACUCUCCGAAAUGCAUUUAGGUGCAGCCUCUGUUGUUUUGUUCUAGAGGUAGAGCUACUGAUUGGAUGCGAGGGCUUCACCGCCUAUCAAAUCCGGCCAAACUCCGAAUGCUAGAACAUGAAGACAGGGAGUGAGCCAGCGGGUGCUAAGGUCCGUUGACGAAAGAGGGAGAACUCAGACCAUCAGCUAAGGUCCCCAAUUGUAUGCUAAGUUGGAAUUAAAACGGGGUGGGACUGCUUAGACAGCUAGGAUGUUGGCUUGGAAGCAGCCAUUCAUUUAAAGAGUGCGUAACAGCUCACUAGUCGAGCGGUCCUGCAUGGAUAAUACGCGGGCAUAAGCAUAUAACCGAAGCUAUGGGAUUGUAGAUGAUACAAUCGGUAGGAGAGCAUUCCAUUCAGCGUAGAAGCAGUAUCGUGAGGUAUUGUGGAGCGGAUGGAAAAGCAAAUGUAGGCAUAAGUAACGAUAAUGCGGGUGAGAACCCCGCACGCCGAAAGAUCAAGGAUUCCCCGGCAAUGUCAAUCAUCCGGGGGUAAGUCGGAUCCUAAGGGUAAGCCGAGUGGCGAUCCCGAUGGCAAACAGGUUAAUAUUCCUGUACUGAUCAUAACUGCGAUGCAGCGACGCAGAGGUGACACUGCUGCGUACUGACGGAAUAGUACGUUGAAACCCGUAUUCUUUGAUACCGGUAGUGAAGCACGCCGGUAGAGAUGAAAGGUGAUAGUACCGCAAUGCUUCGGUUGCGCGGAUAACGCAGGUAAGCUGACUGCCAAGAAAACCUGCUAAGCUUCAGGUAAUGAUCAUCCGUACUGUAAACGGACACACGUGAUCAGGUAGAAAAUACUAAGGCGCUCGAGAGAUUCAUGGUUAAGGAACUAGGCAAAAUGGUCCUGUAACUUCGGGAUAAAGGACGCUCUUGUGAAAGAGCCGCAGAUAAUAGGCCCAGGCGACUGUUUACCAAAAACACAUGGCUAUGCUAAUUCGCAAGAAGAUGUAUAUGGCCUGACACCUGCCCGGUGCCGGAAGGUUAAGAGGAGAGCUCAGAGGUAACUCGAAGGUUUGAAUUGAAGCCCCGGUAAACGGCGGCCGUAACUAUAACGGUCCUAAGGUAGCGAAAUUCCUUGUCGGGU